rnacentral:misc_RNA from 1 species
AACGCACCUUGCGCUCCUUGGUAUUCCGAGGAGCAUGCCUGUUUGAGUGUCAUUAAUAUAUAUAUAUCAACCUUCUCUUUUUGAGUGGUUUGGAUGUGGGGGUUUGCUGGCCUUGUAAAGGGUUUCAGCUCCCCUGAAAUGCAUUAGCAGAACAACCCUGUUCAUUGGUGUGAUAACUAUCUACGCUAUUGAAUGUAAGGGGGCAGUUCAGCUUUCUAACAGUCCUCGGACAAUUCAUCAUUAAUGUGACCUCAAAUCAGGUAGGACUACCCGCUGAACUUAA